rnacentral:rRNA from 1 species
AUGCCAUGGUUGGAUUUGAAUGGGGGCAGCCGUUUGAAAUCUAAUUCAGAAGAUACACAACCUAAGAUCGAAAUAUAUUCCUACCUGAACGAAAGGGGUUCUACUGUUUGUGACGUGCUUCUUGUUGAUCAUCUGCUGCUUUGGCACGUCAAGGGCCAAUGCUGGUGUCAGGACCACUGCGAUCACAAACAAAGCCAAGUAGCUGCUGCUCCGCUCUCUACUGAAGAAGCAUUUGUAGGUUAUUCUAUGCAUAAGACUGCGCUUUUAUGUGUCGUUUCCUUCAAGCUGUCAUUGCAACAAAAGAUGAAGUGUAUCUUCGUGAUCAGUAGAUCACCGCGUGAUGCCCCAUGUUGUAGUUCUAUCGCUACGUGGACAUGUGCAAGAAAUGCAAGGAAGAUAGACCCAUACAUGGUCGUGCAGUACCGGGGCCAGGAGCACAAGGGCGGCACCGCCCGAGACGUGAUGCACGCCGCCAAGUCCGCGCCGACAUCGUGCUCACGGAGCCUGGCCUCUGCGUUGUGUUCUCCAUCUUGCAACGCAUGA